rnacentral:rRNA from 1 species
GGAGUUAGCCGGUGCUUCUUCUGCGAGUAACGUCACAGAUGUAAGGUAUUAACUUACACCCUUUCCUCCUCGCUGAAAGUGCUUUACAACCCGAAGGCCUUCUUCACACACGCGGCAUGGCUGCAUCAGGGUUUCCCCCAUUGUGCAAUAUUCCCCACUGCUGCCUCCCGUAGGAGUCUGGGCCGUGUCUCAGUCCCAGUGUGGCUGAUCAUCCUCUCAGACCAGCUAGGGAUCGUCGCCUAGGUGAGCCUUUACCUCACCUACUAGCUAAUCCCACCUGGGCUUAUCCAUCAGCGCAAGGCCCGAAGGUCCCCUGCUUUCCCCCGUAGGGCGUAUGCGGUAUUAGCAGUCGUUUCCAACUGUUAUCCCCACAAAUGGGCAAAUUCCCAGGCAUUACUCACCCGUCCGCCGCUCGUCAUCUUCAAAAGCAAGCUUUUGAAAUGUUACCGCUCGACUUGCAUGUGUUAGCUGCCGCCACGCGUUACAAUCUGAGCAUGAUACAAACUACUGA